rnacentral:lncRNA from 1 species
GAGGAUUCAGCAGCUACACAGUCGCGGUGGGGCAUGCGAGAUGCCCAGGCUGCCGCAGCGCACACUAUGAGCCCACGCGUGACCGUCAGCCUGCAUGAGUCAGCUUCCCCACCCGACCCAGCUAGUGCGUUCGUUGCCUUGGUUACGGGACUAGCUCCAAGGGUGUGGGGGCGGGGCCGGAGGCGGGGCCUAUGGGCGACCAGUAAUCCAAGUUUCUCAACCUCAGCCCAGUUGCCAUUUCAUCCUUAUUGGACCCAAUCAAAGGCAGCCCAACCAUCUGGAAUCUGGAAGAAGCUGGGUCUAGCACUCGGAAGGCAGAGGAAGGCGGAUAUAUGAGUUCGAGGCCAGCCUGGUCUACAGAGCAAGUUUCAGGACAGCCAGGGCUAACACAGAGAAACCCUAUCUUGAAAAACAACCAAAAGGGGAAAAAAAUCAAUCUGGAAGAAAAGCUGGCUUAUUAGGGCUAAUAGUGUGGGAUUUAAAUAUAUACAACCAUGGCUUGCUCAGCCUGCUUUCUUAUAGAAUCCAGGACCACCUUGCCCAGGGAUGGCACCACCACAAUGGGCUCCCCCGUGCCCCACCCCCAACCUCACAUCAAUAACUAAUUAAGAAAAUGCCUAAGCCAGGAGUG